rnacentral:rRNA from 1 species
GACAGAGGGUGCAAACGUUGUUCGGAAUUACUGGGCGUAAAGCGCGUGUAGGCGGCAGCGUGUGUCGGGCGUGAAAUCCCACGGCUCAACCGUGGAAGUGCACUCGAAACUGCGCAGCUAGAGUCCUGGAGAGGAAGGUGGAAUGCUUGGUGUAGAGGUGAAAUUCGUAGAUAUCAAGCGGAACACCGGUGGCGAAGGCGGCCUUCUGGACAGUGACUGACGCUGAGACGGCGAAAGCGUGGGGAGCAAACAGGG